rnacentral:misc_RNA from 1 species
GAACAAAGUAACAGCUGGUGGCGAACAAGUAACAAAAUCCGAUCAGACGAGCACACGGUACUACACUUUGGAGACGAAACGCAAUGGCUCUCGCGAAAGCAAAAAAACUCCCUACAUCCAUCACCAGGCAUAUGCAUAUGUGUGCUUAGAUGGCCGCGAAGUACUCCUUGCUUCCCUUGGGGUCAGGCUUCAUCGACUUGUCACCGGGCUUCCAUCCGGCCGGGCACACCUCGUCCGGGUUGUCCUGGACGUACUGCAACGCCUGAAGGGUCCUCAUGGUCUCAUCUACACUGCGUCCAAUGGCAAGGUUGUUAAUGGUAGAGUGCUGAAUCACUCCCUCCUUGUCAAUGAUGAAAAGUCCU